UGCGUAGGUGGUUAGGUAAGACCUGUGGGAAAGACCUGGGCUUAACCCAGGAAGGUCGCAGGUGACUGCCUAGCUAGAGGGCGGGAGAGGAGCGCGGAAUUCCCGGUGUAGCGGUGAAAUGCGUAGAGAUCGGGAGGAAGGCCGGUGGCGAAGGCGGCGCUCUGGAACGUUCCUGACACUGAGGCACGAAAGCGUGGGGAGCAAACA
rnacentral:rRNA from 1 species